AUUGAACGCUGGCGGAAUGCUUUACACAUGCAAGUCGAGCGGCAGCACGGGGGCAACCCUGGUGGCGAGCGGCGAACGGGUAAGUAAUACAUCGGAACAUGCCCAGUCGUGGGGGAUAACACUUCGAAAGAAGUGCUAAUACCGCAUACGUCCUGAGGGAGAAAGCGGGGGAUCUUCGGACCUCGCGCGAUUGGAGUGGCCGAUGUCAGAUUAGCUAGUUGGUGGGGUAAAGGCCUACCAAGGCAACGAUCUGUAGCUGGUCUGAGAGGAUGAUCAGCCACACUGGGACUGAGAAACGGCCCAGACUCCUACGGGAGGCAGCAGUGGGGAAUUUUGGACAAUGGGGGCAACCCUGAUCCAGCCAUUCCGCGUGAGUGAAGAAGGCCUUCGGGUUGUAAAGCUCCUUCGGCAGGAACGAAACGGCGAGCUCUAACAUAGCUUGCUAAUGACGGUACCUGAAGAAGAAGCACCGGCUAACUACGUGCCAGCAGCCGCCGUAAGAC
rnacentral:rRNA from 1 species